rnacentral:lncRNA from 1 species
CUGCAUAUGGAAGGGGAGGAGGCCACAGUAGCACCUGUGUCUGUCACGGGGCUGGAAGGUGGAGGACCCAAAAGCAGGAGCCACAGGCAGAAAAAUGCUCAGUGAAAAAAUAAAAUUUAAUAAAGAAACUAAGGUAGGCACAGAACAGAACAGAACAAAACAGUACAAUGAACCGACCAAGAACAGAACUCAAACAGGACUUAAAUAGACAAGAACUAAUCAUCAAACAAGACACACCUGGGGAAGGGGCUGGAGCACAAGACAGGAGAACACAGAGGAUAGGCUGAGGGAAACACUGGGAGGGAUCAGAACAAUCAGGGAUGAUUAACAGACACAGGACAGGUGUGGCACAGGGAGGAGCAAACAAGACACAGCUGAAAUCACUGAAAGGAACUAGGCAAAAGAAACUCAGGAAACAGAUACAAACAAAACCAUGACAGAAACACAUGAAACAGAACCAAACAAAACACAAGCAACACAAAACCAUGACAGUGUCCAAGAGAGAGGCCUCACUUCCCUAUGAAGACUACAGGCAGCGCGGUGACUGGUCGUGUAACUGCAUGCUUGUUGACAUUCUGUGAGCGUCUCAGAAGAACCUUCAACCUUCAACCUUUAUUUGUGUCCCCAAGGGGGGGGCAAUUAGUUUUGAAGGAGGCGUGCAGUGCAUGCUGGGUGUGUAUGUAUGUAGGUGUGCAGGCAGUUUUCCAGCAUGGCAUCACUGCACCAUUACGCCGUCGUCGAAGGGACCCCCCUCCUCCACCACUGGAGCAGCGCCAGCCUCAGCCUCUCCGCCUGAGGAACAAAGACCACAAGCACUUGGCAGGCAGAGACGUACACAUCCCGAGAGCCCGAGCCAACCAGGGCAGACCAGACAGGCCUCAUGUCCGUCAAAGGUGGCAGAAGGAUCACCACUGCCUCGAUGGAACAGAUUGAAAGUAUCGGGAGCCCAGUUCAGAAGACUUCGCCCACAUCACUGGCACAUUAAAACGCCCGGUCUCCGGUCAAAACAGCACGUGUGGCCUCAGCAGGGCUUUGAGAGCCCUGAGGACAUUGCCGUAACACUACAGGGAAACAUAAUUUUUAUCAUUGUAAUUUGUAAAUUCUUCCUUGCUUUUGUUUUUUUUCCUAUAAGGAAGAUAUUUUUAUGGAAUUGAAUCACUGCUUUGAUAUUUGAGUCACUUAAUUAUGGUGGACUGUUUAAGUCUUCUGAUCUUGUCAGUCUGGUUAAAUAAAUAUAGAUAAUUGUUAAGUUACAACAGGUACCUAAGAAAGAAUGCUAAGUGUACACCAUUAUAAUAAAGUUUUUUUAAAAAAUAUAUUACUCUCACUUGACUGAUCAGCAUCC